rnacentral:rRNA from 1 species
UGAUGCGAUCAUACCAGUACUAAAGCACCGGAUCCCAUCAGAACUCCGAAGUUAAGCGUGCUUGGGCUAGAGUAGUACUAGGACGGGUGCAUCCCUCUUUUUGCCGUCCGGCGCUGCACGUCGCCGCCUCUC